CAAGUGAGGAAUGGGGAAGGAGGGUGGAGGAAGGAGCUUGUAAAUGAGCAGCUGGUUUGCAGCAAAACCGCACCUCACUCUGCACCUUUGGAUCCCUCUCAGCCUGAGGUUAGCACAGCCAAUGUCCUCACCAGCGUCUGCCAAAGCCCAUGGAGAAGGCCAGCAGGAGCAUAUCACUGUGACUUACAACCCUUCUCUAGUCUGCUACAAUGGAAUCUUAAACAAGAAAAUUUUAUAUUUUGACUUGCAUCAUUGAGAAAAACACUGCCAACCUGAUCGUGGUUCCUUUGAAGAAUCACUGCAGCAGGUGCGAGAGAGGACUCAUGGAGCUUGCAGAUGAGCUAGCCCAGUUUUUAGAGUACUUCGUCCACGGCGCCAAGGUGUCUAGGGCAGAGACACCACAACCUCCUAAGAUCUUGCCACAGUGGGCCUAUUCUUAUCAACAACAAAUUGGAAUUUAGUGGUGUUCCUCCUGUUUGGACAAGCUGCAAGUUCUUCCCAGUUUCAAGACUACCUGUUGCCUUGUAUCGGGCCCACAUCAGCCCCACAUCAGCCCCACAUCAGCCCAUUGUAUUAUCUCUCUGACCAGUGGUGGAGUUUGAGCUUGUGGACUUUGUCUACAUCAUAGAAGAAGUCAUGAAGAGAAAGAUGACAUAUCUGACUAACAUCAAGUGGAAAACUUUGGUAUAUAAAAAUAAGCCACUUCACUUAUUUUUAACAAGUAACUGAUUAGAAAAAUGAGCAAAUACAAGAGUCAACCAUAUAUUAAAUUUAUGAUAUCAAGAGUUCAUCAAAAAUACCAAUAUCUUAAGGGACAAAAGGAUAAGAACUCAAUUGAUAGAAGAGGAAACACCAUCCAAAAGCAUUCAAACUCAUUAGUAACCAAACAAUAGUUUUAAAACAAUUACAUAUGAUUUCUGAUCCAUUAAAUUAAAAAAAUUAAAGUAUAACAUCAAUGCUAAUACUCCAUUGUUGGCUGGAAAGUAGUUUGGCAAUAUGUACCAAAAGCUUUCAAAAUGUUUAUUCCCUUUAAUGUGGAGUCCCUAUACUCACACAGAUCCCAGAGUCCAAGGGCCUGGAUUCAAAUCCAGACUCCUCCAUUUAUCAACGAUGUAAACAGGGGUAAUGUAAACCAGCACAUCUCGAUUUCCUCAUCUCUAAAAUGAGAAUAAUCAUAAUAGUACUUACAUUAUUGGAUUACUGUGAUGAUUAAAUGAAUAAUAGGACUUUUGGGAACAGUGCCUAGCAAACAGUGGUACAAUAUAAGUUUGCUAAAUGAAUAGAUUUAUCUAUUUUAAAAAUUUACUUGAGGAAGCUACCAACUGAGAAAAGGAUUUAUGCAGAAAAUUGUGUAUUAUAGUACUAUUUAUAAUAUUUAUAAUAGCAAAAAAUUAAGAGCUAUAAUAGAGAAUGAUUAGCUAUUUCAUAGAAAAUGAAAUUAAUGAAAUGUGAUGCAGUCAUUAAAAUUAUGUUUAUGAACUUUGUGUAAUAAUGUUGAAAUCAUAAUUUUAAGUGAAAUAAAAAGCAAAAUAUAUACCAGCAUAUUUGGCAUAUUACAAUAAUUAAAUUACAAUAAUUAAAUUUUUAUUUAAAUUACAAUAGAUUUAGAUUACAAUAAUUAAAAAGAAAUUUUCUUUGCUUUGGAAGGAAGAUUAGAUAAAGGAUUGGAAGGAAGUCAGCCAAAAUGUUAAGAGUAGCUGCUUACAGAUAGUGGAGCUAUAAACGAUUUAUUUUUUAAUGUUCUUCUCUAUUUUCUAUUUGUUUUUAAACUCAGCAUUCUUUAGUUUUGUAUAUUUUUUAAUUCACAUUUUUAAGGUAGAAAGUGAUACUUUGUGUAAGGAUUUGGAAGGCUUAAACUCAUGGUAUAAUUAACCAAAAUACAUCAAAUUUAAUAAUUCUUAGAUAUACAAACUUCAGAAGUCAUAUUCUGAGAUAAUUUCUUUAAAUAUUAAAAUUAAGAGAAAAAAAGACAGGCUCUUAAGCAGAUGCAAAAAUACCUAUGUUACAAGCCUGCACAUUCUGCACAUGUAUCCCAGAACUUAAAGUAAAAUAAAAAAAAUAAUAAUAAGAUCAUGCCAGUGGUUUUUAAACAUACUUUAUGUAUUUAAUUGAAAAUCACAUCUCCUUUACCUUCUUUCAGCAUAUAUUGUACUUAAAACUCUGAACAUUAGCCCUCAGAAUAAGGAAAUGAAUAAUAAAAAAAGCAAAAAUAGAAAACUCUAAAAUAACUGAAAUAAUCUAAUCACAUAUAAGAUGUAAUGAAUUUAAUAAAUGUGAACUUAUAUUUAUAUACAAUUUAUAUACAUAUUGAAAAUUAAUCACUUAGGCUCACAAGAGAAUUCGUUUUAGGAUACUUUGUCUGCUCCCUUUAGGCCUUGAUGGAAUUAAUGUCUAAAUAGCUUUUGAGAUUGUUAUGGAAACUAAAAGGAUACUGGUAUCAAAUAUCUGGCUAUGUCUUACCUACAUUUCUUCUGGUCUUAUUUAUGUUGUCCCAGCCUCACCAAAAAUUGAGAUUUAUGUUUAACCUUUUGUUUACCAUGUGAUGGACAAAUUUGGCAAGUUUGUCAAUUUAUAAUAGUAUUUUCUAUUGUAUCAUCUAGACCUUUUUUGAGGUAAAUAUGAUUUCUUUCCCUUUUCUCCAUCAAUUCUAG
rnacentral:lncRNA from 10 species